UCCGUAGGGUGCGAGCGUUGUCCGGAAUUACUGGGCGUAAAGAGCUCGUAGGUGGUUUGUCGCGUUGUUCGUGAAAUCCCCCGGCUUAACUGUGGGCGUGCGGGCGAUACGGGCAGACUGGAGUACUGCAGGGGAGACUGGAAUUCCUGGUGUAGCGGUGGAAUGCGCAGAUAUCAGGAGGAACACCGGUGGCGAAGGCGGGUCUCUGGGCAGUAACUGACGCUGAGGAGCGAAAGCGUGGGGAGCGAACAGG
rnacentral:rRNA from 1 species